rnacentral:lncRNA from 1 species
AAGGGCUUUCCAAGCAUGGCCUUGAUCAUAUGACAUACACAUGCAAUUCAAUCAAUUAUCAAGAUUAAGUCAAUAUCAUUCAUGAUUCCCUGUGAACAGUGCACACAUCAAUAAAUAUUUUGAAGCUCAAUACCUCACAUAAAUGCUUUCUCACUUCUCAUUCAUGAAUCCUGCUUAGCAUCACAAUCACAAUCAUAGUCACUUACUCAUCUGUUCACAUAAUUAGUGAAAC